rnacentral:rRNA from 1 species
GACGAACGCUGGCGGCGUGCUUAACACAUGCAAGUCGAGCGGUAGGGCACCUUCGGGUGUACACGAGCGGCGAACGGGUGAGUAACACGUGAGUAACCUGCCCUUCUCAUCGGAAUAAGCGUUGGAAACGACGUCUAAUGCCGAAUACGACUUCGGGCCGCAUGGUCUGAAGUGGAAAGCUCCGGCGGAGAAGGAUGGACUCGCGGCCUAUCAGCGUGUUGGUGGGGUAACGGCUCACCAAGGCGACGACGGGUAGCCGGCCGGAGAGGGUGACCGGCCACACGGGGACGGAGACACGGCCCAGACUCCUACGGGAGGCAACAGUGGGGAAUAUUGGACAAUGGGCGAAAGCCUGAUCCAGCAACGCCGCGUGAGGGAUGACGGCCUUCGGGUUGUAAACCUCUUUCAGUAUCGACGAAGCGCCCUGUCGGGUGGUGACGGUAGAUACAGAAGAAGGACCGGCCAACUACGUGCCAGCCGCCGCGGUAAGAC